UACAGUGGUGGGUACAUGUCCUUAUGCAAGUCAAAACCCACAGAACAUUCAAGAGUGAACCCUAAUGUAAACUAUGGACACAGGGUGAUAACGAUGUGUUAAUAUAGGUGCAUUAGUUUUAACAGACGUCCCACUCUGGUGCAAGAUGCUGUGCAUAUAUGGGAGCAGAAAUUACAAGGGAAUCUCUGUACUUUCCUCUCAACUCUGGUGUGACCCUAGAACUGCUCUA